CCUACGGGUGGCUGCAGUGGGGAAUAUUGCACAAUGGGGGAAACCCUGAUGCAGCAACGCCGCGUGAAGGAAGACGGCUUUCGGAUUGUAAACUUCUGUUCUUAGUGACGAAUAAUGACGGUAUCUCAGGAGCAAGCCACGGCUAACUACGUGCCAGAAGCCGCGGUAAUACGCGGGUGGCAAGCGUUGUCCGGAAUUACUGGGGGUAAAGGGGGCGCAGGGGGGAAGGCAAGUCUGCUGUGAAAACUACGGGCUUAACUUGUAGACUGCAGUUGAAACUGGUUUUCUUUUGUGAAGUAGAGGUUAGCGGAAUUCCGGGUGUAGCGGUGAAAUGCGUAGAUAUUCGGAGGAACACCGGUGGCGAAGGCGGCCAGCUGGGCAUUAACUGACGCUGAGGCUCGAAAGUGUGGGGAGCAAACAGGAUUAGAUACCCCGGUAGUC
rnacentral:rRNA from 1 species